UUUAUCCUGCCCCAGAGGCCAUCCCCUGGUGCCCGUUUUCAGCAGGAGAAUCAUGAUGAUCAAUGAAGCCGGGCUCUACAAUCAGUGGCUGAAGCAAUUGUUCCCAAAUUAUUCCUCCUGUUCCAAUAUGCCGACCAAGGUUGCUGUCCAGACUUCACUUUCCUUUGUUAACAUCUGGGGCAUGUUUCUUGUGCUGGUGUUCGGCCUUGGUCUCAGUCUGCUUGUCCUGGGCAUGGAGCUCCUGCAUGAUCACUACGAUCCUGCAUGAUUACUAAGCUCCUACGUGAUUACUAAGCUUUUAAUUGAUUAUUAAGAUUCUGCACCAGCACUAAGAAUAUUUACAGAAAGUUAUCUUAUGUAUGAUCAUGAAGCUUAUGAAGCUGCUGUAUGAUGAAUGAGCUCCUGAAAGAUCAUGGUGAUCCUAUACAAAUUGAAACUCCUUCAUGCUCAAUAAUCGCUUGUAUGAUCAUGGAGAUUUCCUGUGACAUGGAUCUCCUGAACCAUCAUUUAGCUCCUAUAUGAUA